AUGUACAUAGAACUCAGCUGCAGAGGAGAGGCUAGUAUUAAGUGACAGUUUCCAGUGAUACUGCAAAGCUGUAACUCAGAACAUAAGUUUGUGGCUGAAUUUAUGGRCUACAUGGAAGAUCAAAAAUCCAUGACAUUGCAGUGCUCGUGCGGGGCUGGUGCUGCCCCAGGAGCAGGGAGAGUGCCCUUUCCUCGGCUCAUCUGCCAGACGUAGGCAAAGUAAAGGCAUCAACAGGACUGAAUUGGAAGUACUGCAAAACUAGCAGUUGUUUGCAAUGAUGCUGCAAGUUUUAUCCAAGGUAACCCAGCAAAGUGCCACCAGCACCGAGCCAUCCUCCUUCCCAGGCAUGGCUCCGCACAGGGCCAGCUCAGCAUGGAG